GACGAACGCUGGCGGCGUGCUUAACACAUGCAAGUCGUACGGUAAGGCCCUUUCGGGGGUACACGAGUGGCGAACGGGUGAGUAACACGUGAGUAACCUGCCCACAACUUUGGGAUAACGCUAGGAAACUGGUGCUAAUACUGGAUAUGUGCUCCUGCUGCAUGGUGGGGGUUGGAAAGCUCCGGCGGUUGUGGAUGGACUCGCGGCCUAUCAGCUUGUUGGUGGGGUAGUGGCCUACCAAGGCGGCGACGGGUAGCCGGCCUGAGAGGGUGACCGGCCACAUUGAGACUGAGAUACGGCCGAGACUCGUACGCGAGGCAGCAGGGGGGAAUAUUGCACGAUGGGCGCAAGCCUGAUGCAGCAGCGCCGCGGGCGGGAUGACGGCCUUCGGGUUGUAAACCGCUUUCAGCAGGGACGAAGCUUUUUGUGACGGUACCUGCAGAAGAAGCACCGGCUAACUACGUG
rnacentral:rRNA from 1 species